rnacentral:tRNA from 1 species
GCCCGGGUGGUGGAAUGGUAGACACGCAGGACUUAAAAUCCUGUGACCGUUGAGGUCGUACGGGUUCGAGUCCCGUCCCGGGCA